rnacentral:misc_RNA from 1 species
AUUUUUUUUUUUUAAAAAAAAAUAUGUUGGCAUGCUGAGUUUGUGAAGAAAGCAAAAUUUAAAAGGUGUGAUACUCUUUUGUGUCAAAAAUAUGUAAAACUUGGAUACAACUACGAUUUUGGAUACAACUACGAUUCUUGUCUGGGUUCUAUCUAAUCGACUGUUUGAGCCCCUUGUUGCCUAAUUUUGUUUUUUAAUUCUCUUUUUGAAUUUUUACCUUUAAAUUAAUGUCUUAAUUGCUGUUGUGCUUCCAUAGUUGGUUUGAUAUGUAUAGAGAUAGAGUGCGGAAUUUCUGUACAAUGUUUGAAUUAUAAUUUCUAAGCAUCGAAUAAAUUUGUGAUUUUUUCACGUGCAUAUUAAUUUAAGGCAUGGAAGGAAUCAUUGUUAGAA